rnacentral:rRNA from 1 species
CCCUUAGAUGUUCUGGGCCGCACGCGAGCUACACUGAUGCAUUCAACGAGUCUAAAACCUGCUCUGAUAGGGGUGGGUAAUCUUUUGAAUGUGCAUCGUGAUUGGGAUAGAUGAUUGCAAUUUUUCAUCUUCAACGAGGAAUGCCUAGUAAACGCAAGUCAUCAGCUUGCAUUGAUUACGUCCCUGCCCUUUGUACACACCGCCCGUCGCUCCUACCGAUUGAAUGAUCCGAUGAAUAUCAUGGAUUGAGGAUGCAAGUAGGUUCGCCUAUCUUCAUCUUCGAGAAGUGAAGUAAAUCUUAUCAUUUAGAGGAAGGAGAAGUCGUAACA